UGGUUUGUAACAGAGUGACACAUGGAUAGGAUGCGUGACAGGCAAGUGGACUCCAGAGUCGCUCUGCUGAGUUCUGGAUAGAGUCCAAGGGGGAAAGUGUUUGCUCCGUUUUCAUGCUACAGCUAGGAAAAGAAGCCACUGCUAUGACAAAUCUUCAUUAAAGGUCACUUUGUGAUGCCACAGUAUUGAUGGAUCCCAUGCUGUGAGACUUGGCCUAUGCCAUCCGGGCUACAGAAAUCACAGUAUGUUCUACCUGUGUUUGAGGGGUUUAUUUCAUUUUUCCAAAUGAUGUUGAGCUGGGCUGGAUGAGAACCAGUGGAGACAGAAAACCAUGCAUUUACAACAGGUACAUGGAAAUUUCUGUGAGCCCCAUGUCUCCAGUCUCUUAAAGUGAUGGCGUGCCUUGCAAGACACUCAAGAUCAUCCAACUACAUAGUCAUGGAUAAUUUAUCUCCGUGUCUGUUAUCUUCUACUAUUUCAUACCCCGUGUUUGAAGGAUUUUGUGACUUUAACCCUUUUUUUUUCUUUGGGAUAUACUGCCUCUCAAUUGCUCACUCUUCAGGACAAUGUGAGUUUCCUGCUAAUGUUAGAUUCAGGAAAAGAACCAAAGAAUGCAAGAGCUGGCACACCUAUGGGCUCUCAACUCAACAGACAAAUUCUUGACAAACCAAACGGCAUGUUAACAUGUGUCAGCAGCAUAUUUGCAUGUGCCAAGGGUGAGGAAGAAGCAGUCACUUUUCGAAAGGAUGGUGGUGGGACUCACAUGGAAACAUGAGGAGUUAGCAAAGCCAGUUGUCUUCUCCACUAAACUCUUCACCUUAAACACUAGAGCAGAAACAGUUCCCAAUCAUCAAAUGUACAGAAUAGUCUCACUUACUUAGAGGCAACCCGGAAGUAUUUCUGGAUGAAAUAAAAGGCUACACCCAGGGGUGCAAGGGCGACUAGAAACACGGGUGUAGCAUAGGAGAUCAUCCCAAUAGCAGACAGGCAGAGCAGGGUGGAGCGCGUCAGCGACUCCAAGGUCGGAGGGAUAUGCUGUGGGGAGAGAGUACAAAGGACAAUGCAUUUAGCUCAUGUGCAAUAUCGGUGACAGUGUAAUAACAUUCAUGUUUAUAUUAAUGUUAAGUAAUGGGAGCCACCACCAAAGCAAGCUGUAGGCCUGCUCACAGUAGACAAUUGCACAUGCGUCCACAGUUCAGCAUCCAUGCAUCAUUGACAUGGUGUCCACCCACUCAUCUCGGAUACUGUAGAUAAACGUUUAUACCAGAAGUUUGUUGGCUUUACUAUGAUCAAAUAUGGGUAUUUCCCCAUCCGUGUUUUCAAACAUUCCUUUCUAAUGGAUAUACACUGUUUAAAAUUCAUCUAGUCUUCCCACUGUAAAAUGUGUAGAUUAUUUUUUCAGC
rnacentral:lncRNA from 1 species